rnacentral:rRNA from 1 species
CGAACGGGUGAGUAACACGUGAGCAACCUACCUUACACAGGGGGAUAGCCGUUGGAAACGACGAUUAAUACCGCAUGAGACCACAGAACCGCAUGGUAAAGGGGUCAAAGAUUUAUCGGUGUAAGAUGGGCUCGCGUCUGAUUAGCUAGCUGGAAGGGUAAAGGCCUACCAAGGCGACGAUCAGUAGCCGGUCUGAGAGGGUGAUCGGCCACAUUGGGACUGAGACACGGCCCAGACUCCUACGGGAGGCAGCAGCG